CUUUAAUGAUUUGGUUUAAUUUACUUCCAUUAUAAACUCCCACAGUUGGGUAUCUAGGGUCUUGAAAAUCCAACACCUGUCAAAACCAAGACCAGUCUCAGUCAUCAAUUAUCUAAAUUACAAACAUGUCUUAAGGACAUAAAAUCCUGGAUGACCUGCAAUUUUCUGAUGUUAAACUCAGAAAAAACCGAAAUUCUUGUUCUUGGCCCCAAAAACCUUAGAGACUCAUUGUCUAAAGAUAUAGUCACUCUAGAUGGCAUUAACUUGGCCUCUAGUACCACUGUCAGGAAUCUUGGAGUUAUCUUUGAUCAGGAUUUGUCAUUUAACUCCCACAUAAAGCAGACCUCUAGGACUGCCUUCUUUCAUUUACGUAAUAUUAGAAAAAUUAGACACAUACUAUCACAGACAGAUGCAGAAAAACUAAUCCAUGCAUUUGUUACUUCAAGGCUGGAUUACUGCAACUCUUUAUUAUCAGGUUGCCCCAAUAAGUCCAUUAAAACGCUCCAAUUAAUUCAGAACGCUGCAGCACAAGUACUGACAGGAACUAGAAAAAGAGAUCACAUCUCUCCUGUACUAGCUACUCUGCAUUGGCUCCCUAUAAAAUGUAGAAUUGAAUUUAAAAUCCUCCUCCUCACCUAUAAAUCUCUUCAUGGUCAGGCCCCUUCAUAUCUUAAAGAGCUCAUAGUACCCUAUUACCCCACUAGAACACUACGUUCUCUGAAUGCAGGGCUACUUGUGGUUCCUAUAGUCUCUAAAAGUAGAACAGGAGCCAGAGCCUUCCGUUACCAAGCUCCUCUCCUGUGGAACCAGCUUCGAGUUGUGGUUCGGGAGGCAGACACCCUCACCACAUUCAAGAGUAGGCUUAAGACAUUCCUCUUUGAUAAAGCUUAUAGUUAGGGCUGGAUCAGGUGAGUCCUGAACCAUCCCUUAGUUAUGCUGCUAUAGGCCUAGACUAUCGGGGGAUUUCCCAUGGUGCACUGAGCUACUCUCUUCCUCUCUCUUUCUGCACUCAUUCAUGUCCCUUUAAUGCAUGUUACUAACUCCACUUCUUCCCCGGAGUUCUUGUGCUUUCUCGUCUCGCAGGUUCUCAUGGAUCCUGGUGGAGCCUCCUGCCAUGGUCCUGCUUGACUGCCAUUGCCAAUACUGUUGUUGCUGUGCACCUGUCUGUCUGUCUGUCUCUCGCUCUCUCUCUCUCUCUCUCUCUCUCUCUCUCUCUCUCUCUCACCCCAACUGGUCGAGACAGACGACCACCCACCUAGAGCCGGAGGAUCUGUCCUAGGUUUCUGCCUUUUAACAGGCAGUUUUUCCUUGCCCUUGUCUCCAAGGUCUUGCUCAUGGUGGUACUGUUGGGUCUCUGUAAUUAAUGUUUUAAAGAGUUCGGUCUAGACCUGCUCUAUUUGAAAAGUGUCCUGAGAUAACUUACUAAAUGGUACAAAGAUGUCAUUUUACUCAACAGAAAAAAUAUUUAUUUGGGAAACACAUGCCCAUGUUGUGUUAGAUAUCACUCAGAAAUACAGCAGUGUAAGUGCACUGGGUGUGUGCUACGUUCGUCACCCACUGAACACAUACAUAGAAGGCACAGAGCACACAGAUCACAGCAGACAUACAUUCAUCAGCAGCGGUACACUGCACUGAGACUAACAAUCCAGGUUUGUACCAUUGUGUUAUAGUCUCAGACAGCAACCGGAGGAAGUCUCACAAAGUAGCACACAGCAAUCGUGGAUCAGACAACAAAACAGACAUCUCAACAAUGUGUGAACAGCUACAGUAUGUAAUACAGCUGCCAGGGUGCAUGUUAAGUGCCCCAAAUAUUCAACCGUUUCAUUUUUAUAAGUUUUUACAAGUUUUUGAAUGUAACUUGUCAUGUCAAUAAAUACUUGCAAUAAAUAAAGCAAAAGAGUGCAACAAGUACAUUAUUUGAGUGUGAAAAGUCAUUCUUGAUAAUUUAUUCUUAACACUGUGUCCAAUUGAUACCUUUUUCCAGAGCAUCUCACAGACCUUGUUAGUGAAUGGAGUUGUCGUUAUGUGAACUAAGCAUGGCGCUUUACAGGGGGACUGACUGCACUCGGACUGGCCAGAUUCUUAAAGGCAGGGUGGUUGAGAGCUCCAGAAAAAGCCAGUAAGUGGAACUUGAGUGAAGUUUUUUUUCUGUCAACUUAUUUGAAAUCAUCAGGUAAAUGGAAAGUAGAAUACCACAACAACAGGAACUGUAUUAGAAAAAACUGUGCUGAGAACAGGACAAAAAAACUGGAAAUGUCUUUGUUCUAAAAUGUAACGUGUAUCUGAGUA